rnacentral:rRNA from 1 species
UCUGGAGGGGACUAUCGUUGCUCGGAAUUACUGGGCGUAAAGCGCGCGUAGGCGGAUUAGUCAGUCAGAGGUGAAAUCCUAGGGCUCAACCCUGGAACUGCCUUUGAUACUGCUAGUCUUGAGUUCGAGAGAGGUGAGUGGAAUUCCGAGUGUAGAGGUGAAAUUCGUAGAUAUUCGGAGGAACACCAGUGGCGAAGGCGGCUCACUGGCUCGAUACUGACGCUGAGGUGCGAAAGCGUGGGGAGAAAACAGG